AGCUUUGCACAGUGGCAGGAUUGCAGCAAAUGCGGUUUCUCUCAGGUGCAAUCAUUGCUAUUUGAAAACUUUUCCCAAUACCCUGCGGUGAGGACUUGAAAUACGGUCAGCAUUGGCAAUAUUUGACAGUCUCUAUGGAGA
ensembl:snRNA U4 U4 spliceosomal RNA